CAGCAGCCGCGGUAAGACGAACCGUGCAAACGUUACUCGGAAUCACUGGGCUUAAAGCGCACGUAGGCGGCGACAUAAGUUAGAGGUGAAAUCCCAUCGGCUCAACCGUGGAACUGCCUCUAAUACUGUGUUGCUUGAGGGAGAACGGGGCAUUCGGAACUUCCGGUGGAGCGGUGAAAUGUGUUGAUAUCGGAAGGAACGCCGGUGGCGAAAGCGGAAUGCUGGGUCUCUUCUGACGCUGAGGUGCGAAAGCUAGGGGAGCAAAUGGGAUUAGAUACCCCGGUAGUCCCUGUCUCUUAUU
rnacentral:rRNA from 1 species